rnacentral:rRNA from 1 species
GUGGGGAAUAUUGGACAAUGGGCGCAAGCCUGAUCCAGCAAUGCCGCGUGGGUGAAGAAGGCCUUCGGGUUGUAAAGCCCUUUUGUACGGGAAGAAAAGCUGCCGAUUAAUACUCGGUGGUCAUGACGGUACCGUAAGAAUAAGCACCGGCUAACUUCGUGCCAGCAGCCGCGGUAAUACGAAGGGUGCAAGCGUUAAUCGGAAUUACUGGGCGUAAAGCAUGCGUAGGUGGUUUGUUAAGUCUGAUGUGAAAGCCCUGGGCUCAACCUGGGAAUGGCAUUGGAUACUGGCUUACUAGAGUGCGGUAGAGGGUAGCGGAAUUUCCGGUGUAGCGGUGAAAUGCGUAGAGAUCGGAAGGAACAUCCGUGGCGAAGGCGGCUACCUGGACCAGCACUGACACUGAGGCACGAAAGCGUGGGGAGCAAA